rnacentral:piRNA from 1 species
GCUAACAGAAGAGUUAACAGAGUCUACCAA